UUGGAUCGUUAGCGGCGGACGGGUGAGGAACACGGGGGCGACCUGCCCUGGGGACGGGGAUCACACCGAGAAGUCGGUGCUAAUACCGGAUAACACCGAGGACCGUGUGGGUUUUCUGUGAACGGCGGUCCAAGCUGACACUGCAUGAUGGGCCCGCGCUCCAUUACCUAGUUGGGGAGGCAACGGCUCACCCCGGUGACGAUGCGGAGCCGACCUGAGAGGGUGAUCGGUCACGCUGGGACUGAAACCCCGCCCACACUCCUACUGGAGGCAGCAGUAGGCAAUCUUCCGCCAUGUAAGAGAGGCUGACGGAGGAACACCGCGGGAGCCAAUAAGGCCUUCGGGUCGUAAAGCUCUGUUGUUAGGGAAAAACAAGUACCGCACCCACUGGCGGCACGUUGACGGUACCGAACAACAAAGCAUCUCUUAACUACGUGCCAGAUGCCGCGACAAGACAUAGGUGGUCAGCGUUGUCCGGAAUUAAUGGGCAGUAAAGCCGCGCGCAGGCGGUCCCUUAACUAUGAUGUGAAAGCUCACUGCUCAACCGGGGGAGGGUCAUUGGAAACUGGGGGACUUGAGUGCAGAAGAGUAGAGCGGAAUACACACGUGUAGCGUUGAAAUUCGUAGAGAUGUGCAGGAACACCAGUGGCGAAGGCGGCUCUCUGGUCUGUAACUGACGCUGAGGCGCAAUAGCGUGGAGAGCAAACAGGAUUAGAUACCAUGGUAGUUCAUGCAGUAAUCGAUGAGUGUUAAGUGUUAGAGGGUAUCCACCCUUUAGUGUUGUAGAUAAAGCUUUAAGCACUCCGAAUGGGGAGUACGCUCGCAAGAGUGAAACUCAAAGUAAUUGACGGGGGCCCGCACAAGCGGUGGAGCAUGUGGUUUAAUUCGAAGCAACGUGAAGAACCUUAUCAGGUCUUGACAUCUCCUGACAACCUGAGAGAUCGGGCGUUCCUCGUUCGGGGGGACAGGGUGACAGGUGGUGCAUGGUUGUCUUCAGCUCGUGUCGUGAGAUGUUGGGUUAAGUCCCGCUACGAGCGCAACCCUCGACCUUAGUUGCCAGCAUUCACUUGGGCAAUGUAAGGUGACUGCCGGCUAAAAGUCGGAUGAAGGUGGGGAUGAAGUCAAAUCAUCAUGCCCCUUAUGAUCUGGUCUACACACGUUCUUCAAUGGGCGGUACAAAGGGUUGCGAACCCGCGAGGGGGAGCCAAUCCCAAAAAGCCGCUGUCAGUUUGGAUUGCAGGUUGCAAAUAGCCCGCAUGAUGCUGGAAUUGAUAGUAAUCGCGGAUCAGCAUGUCGCGGUGAAUACGUUCCCGGGCCUUGUUCACACCGCCCGUCACACCACGAGAGUUUGCAAC
rnacentral:rRNA from 1 species